ACACGUAGUCAACAUGCCCAGGGGACGUGGAUAACCUCGGGAAACUGAGGAUAAACCGCGAUAGGUCAUCACUUCUGGAAUGGGUAAUGACUUAAACCUAUAUGGCCCCUGGAUUGGACUGCGGCCGAUCAGGCUGUUGGUGAGGUAAUGGCCCACCAAACCUGUAACCGGUACGGGCUCUGAGAGGAGGAGCCCGGAGAUGGGCACUGAGACAAGGGCCCAGGCCCUAUGGGGCGCAGCAGGCGCGAAACCUCUGCAAUAGGCGAAAGCUUGACAGGGUUACUCUGAGUGAUUUCCGUUAAGGAGAUCUUUUGGCACCUCUAAAAAUGGUGCAGAAUAAGGGGUGGGCAAGUCUGGUGUCAGCCGCCGCGGUAAUACCAGCACCCCGAGUGGUCGGGACGUUUAUUGGGCCUAAAGCAUCCGUAGCCGGUUCUACAAGUCUUCCGUUAAAUCCACCUGCUUAACAGAUGGGCUGCGGAAGAUACUAUAGAGCUAGGAGGCGGGAGAGGCAAGCGGUACUCGAUGGGUAGGGGUAAAAUCCGUUGAUCCAUUGAAGACCACCAGUGGCGAAGGCGGCUUGCCAGAACGCGCUCGACGGUGAGGGAUGAAAGCUGGGGGAGCAAACCGGAUUAGAUA
rnacentral:rRNA from 1 species